CGGCGGACGGGUGAGUAACACGUGGAUAACCUACCUAUAAGACUGGGAUAACUUCGGGAAACCGGAGCUAAUACCGGAUAAUAUAUUGAACCGCAUGGUUCAAUAGUGAAAGACGGUUUUGCUGUCACUUAUAGAUGGAUCCGCGCCGCAUUAGCUAGUUGGUAAGGUAACGGCUUACCAAGGCAACGAUGCGUAGCCGACCUGAGCGGGUGAUCGGCCACACUGGAACUGAGACACGGUCCAG
rnacentral:rRNA from 1 species